UACAGAGGGCUAAAGCGUUGUUCGGAUUCAUUGGGCGUAAAGGGUGCGUAGGCUGCGCGGUAAGUCGGGUGUGAAAUCUCGGGGCUUAACUCCGAAACUGCAUUGGAAACUACCUUGCUAGAGGGUUGGAGGGGGGACUGGAAUACUUGGUGUAGCAGUGAAAUGCGUAGAUAUCAAGUGGAACACCAGUGGCGAAGGCGAGUCCCUGGACAACUCCUGACACUGAGGCACGAAAGCUAGGGGGGCAAACAGG
rnacentral:rRNA from 1 species